UGUUCCCCUGCCUGCUCUAUCUCCUCCGUGCCAGUAGAUGUCCCUCUACUUCUAUGCUCGUCCCUACGCUCCGCUAUCAAAUGAAGAAGUCCCCCACCAAAACAACACGGUGAACCGGUGAACACUUGAACACGCUUCGUCCUCUACACUCCUGAAGUAGCGGUGUGUGCUAGCUGCCUGUGGCCGGGCAGAGAGCGCUUUGGUGCGGGUUGACUGACAUGUGUGACCCCGGGGCUGCGGCGCUGACGCUCACGGUCCGCCUGGUGCGCUCUUCGAGUACUGUAACUUCAAACCCGUGGUGUUCCAGGUGGUGUCACCGGAGCAGAGUGUGCAGGAGUUUAUCCAGCAUGUGCUCAAAGAUAUUGAGACAAGACCUGGACUGCCACCUCCAUUUAGGAAAUAUCAUUAUGACACUAUGA
rnacentral:lncRNA from 1 species